rnacentral:rRNA from 1 species
GUCCCAGUUCGGAUUGCAGGCUGCAACCCGCCUGCAUGAAGUUGGAAUCGCUAGUAAUCGCGGAUCAGCAUGCCGCGGUGAAUACGUUCCCGGGCCUUGUACACACCGCCCGUCACACCAUGAGAGUCGGGAACACCCGAAGUCCGUAGCCUGACCGCAAGGGGGCGCGGCCGAAGGUGGGUUCGAUAAUUGGGGUGAAGUCGUAACAAGGUAUC